rnacentral:rRNA from 1 species
AAGAAGACACCGGCUAACUCCGUGCCAGCAGCCGCGGUAAUACGGAGGGUGCGAGCGUUAAUCGGAAUUACUGGGCGUAAAGACGCAUGCAGGUGGUUUGUUAAGUCAGAUGUGAAAGACCCGGGGCGUCAACCUCGGAAUAGCAUUUGAAACUGGCAGACUAGAGUACUGUAGAGGGGGGUAGGAAUUUCAGGUGUAGCGGUGAAAUGCGUAGAGAUCUGAAGGAAUACCGGUGGCGAAGGCGGCCCCCUCGGACAGAUACUGACACUCAGAUGCGAAAGCGUGGGGAGCAAACAGGAUUAGAUACCCCUGGUAG